rnacentral:rRNA from 1 species
UACGUAGGGGGCAAGCGUUGUCCGGAUUUAUUGGGCGUAAAGAGCGUGUAGGCGGCCUGAAAGGUCAGCUGUGAAAACUCGAGGCUCAACCUCGAGACGUCGGUUGAAACCAUCUGGCUAGAGUCCGGAAGAGGAGUGUGGAAUUCCUGGUGUAGCGGUGAAAUGCGCAGAUAUCAGGAGGAACACCGGUGGCGAAGGCGGGUCUCUGGGCCGAUACUGACGCUGAGGAGCGAAAGCGUGGGGAGCGAACAGG